GGGUGACACUAGGGUCGGUUCUGAGCAGGGGAGGAAGCGGCCUCUGAAGUUACGGCCUUCGGUAUAUUAUACUGAAAAAGAGCUUGGAGCAGCAAUUUCCAAAUCUUCUGGACUUUGAGGACGAAAUCGCUGCAGAGGCUACUGGGGAGUUUGAAGUAUUUGUGGAUGGAAGAUUGGUCCAUUCCAAGAAGAAAGGCGAUGGCUUUGUGGACGAAUCUGGGAUGAAGAAAAUUGUACAAACUAUUAGUGAAGAGCUCAGGAAAAGGUAGCAGGCAAUGGUGGGGC